CGCGUCCUCGCCACCGGCCGCUGGGGGCGCUCGGUCGUGGGAGGCCGGCGGGGCGGCCCGGUGCUGGGGCGUCAGCUCCCUCCUCUCCUCCCCACCGCCCGGCCCAGAGAGGUUAAGCAGUUUGCCCGACGUAGCCCAGCCAGGACGCGGAGACGCAGGAAGCGGGGCCUCCAGACUGAGACAGGCUGCCUCUUAUCCCUCUACGGACUCCGGGGAGGGCUACCCCUCGCCCCCCCGCCCCCCCCCCCCCCCCCCACAGAGCAAAGCUGCUUUCUAAUGCCGCCCUCAUUUUUCUAAGACGCAGGUUAAAAAACAAAGGAAAAAAAAACACAUUUUUGAGAGCCAAAGCCUUUUGACUGUUGGCUUGAGCCAGGCCAAGAUCCCCGGCUGAGCCCAGGCAGCUGUCACUUUCCAGUAGGAAAUACCCAUUGAAAUACCCAUUGAAGGUUUUAACAGGACAGACAUGAUUUGGACAAAUCUACCGACCCUAUUCCUUCAGGACAUCCUGAGCCCUGAGGACAGGAUCUCUGUGUGGCUCACCCUUGGGCGCCCGCUGAAGGUAUGGUUGGCAAACCUGGUGAGGCGGCCUGGAAGAAGACCUUGCCUUCGGAAGGAAAAGUCUGUACUAGACCAUCUGAAGAAACGCAUUUUAUUUGUUUCAAGUCCACACAGUGAGGAGAGCUGGCUACCCAGGUGGUGCCCGUUGGAACAAAGAGAAAACUGAUCUAUGAUUAAGACACUGAAGCAUCUGCACAGGAGUCAAGACCCUUGCCCUGUGCAUACCACGUGACGAAUACUGUGUGAAGGAAUGGUAACGUGCUUUGAGAACAUUCCUGAUGCCCUGUCCACAUGGACGGUGUGCACGGCAAAACCCCUCUCUCACCGAGGGAGGCUUUGGCCUCCUCAGCCUGGGCCAGUCACCAGGUCUUGAACACAUGUCUCGGAUGCUGUAAUUCCGGACACUGUGUCAGCAAACCUCUCUGCUUGCCAGGGAAAGGCACCCCCUCUCCCUUCCAGGAGUCAGAAAUCCAUCUUUCAAGGCUCAGAACAGUCACAUCCCACUCCUAGAAGGGGGAGAGGGCAGCCCCCAGAUUCGUGACUCGGCCUCUGCCUCAGAAAUAGAAGUUCAUCCAAAGUGAACUUGCUCCCUAAAUAA